rnacentral:rRNA from 1 species
GAUGAACGCUGGCGGCGUGCCUAACACAUGCAAGUCGAGUGAUUCUCUUCGGAGAAGAGCGGCGGACGGGUGAGUAACGCGUGGGUAACCUGCCCUGUACACACGGAUAACAUACCGAAAGGUAUGCUAAUACGAGAUAAUAUGCUUUUGUCGCAUGGUAGAAGUAUCAAAGCUCCGGCGGUACAGGAUGGACCCGCGUCUGAUUAGCUAGUGGGUAAGGUAACGGCUUACAAAGGCGACGAUCAGUAGCCGACCUGAGAGGGUGAUCGGCCACAGUGGAACUGAGACACGGUCCAAACUCCUACGGGAGGCAGCAGUGGGGAAUAUUGCACAAUGGGCGAAAGCCUGAUGCAGCAACGCCGCGUGAGCGAUGAAGGCCUUCGGGUCGUAAAGCUCUGUCCUCAAGGAAGAUAAUGACGGUACUUGAGGAGGAAGCCCCGGCUAACUACGUGCCAGCCGCCGCAGUAA